rnacentral:lncRNA from 1 species
AGCGCCGUUUGCCAAUUGAGCGCGCUCACGGGCUGCCAGGCUCUGGUGCGCGCACCCGCUCAGCACUCUUACUCCUGGAGCGCGCUCCCGCUCCCUGACGCGCGCUCCGCGCUAUGUCUCUCGCGCCCCCUCGCUCAGUCAGUCGGAGGCUCCGUUAAGCGACGGCAGGUUCCUGUUUCCGUAUUUUCACCCCCCCACACCCGCAUCCGCGCGCCGGCGCCUCCUUAGAGCCGGCACCCGCAGCAGGGGGGGAGCCCGCGGGCGGGCGGUGCUGCUGCUACUCAGGUCACUGUCAUUGUAAAAUCCAAGGAGAGAAGCAGAUACAUGUGACCCAGCUUCAUAGAUUACCUUCUAUAGAAGAAAAAAGGCACAGGUUGGUACCAUAAUUGAGACAUAUACUUUCAUUAUUCUCUUACGUAUUCUGAUUUUAAAUAUUAAACAUUUGGAGUGUUUUGUCAACUGUAUAAAAUGACUGUUUUCAUGGCUGCUUCUCUUCAUAAUUUUGAAUAACAAGUUGUUGAGGAUUAUCCAUUCAAAUAUCGGCUGCAAAUUGAAAUACAGUGGGUCUGAUUCUCUACUGCUUUUCUACACCUAGUGUAAUCAUUUACACAUCUGCAAAUAGAGUGCAAGGAGAGUGUAAAACACUACCAAAAUACUCAUUGCUGUAUUUUACACUCACUUUAUACAAGUGUAAGUAACUGCAUAAGGUGCAAGUCAGUUGAGAAUUGUUUGAGUUAGGAUAUCUAAAAAUAUUGUUACCCCCUUUGACCCAAGUGGCUAGCCAGGUUUGGGGUGUUGUGGGUAGAAGUGACUGAAGAAUAUAAUUGUUUUUGUCCUUUUGAUGGCUGUCAUUUCAAUCACCUCUUUACAUUCAUCCUGAAUGAAAAAUGGCAGUUAUGGCCAACUCAUAACAACAGGGUUUAACCCAACACACAACAAAGCGUUCACUUUAAUCUGAGUAUGAGGAUUUUUAAAAAACACGUUUAUCAUUUCACCACUGAUGCUCUUUACUAAAUUUCACUUUCUGAUUCUCGUGCUACUGUGCUGAUGGGAUGUUUGGAUUUCAGACACUGCAGAGGAAUGUUUAAAUCCAAACUACAAAGUUUUCAUUACAAUUAUAAAAGAAGUUUCUCUUAGUAGACUUUUUGUUUGUAAAAAAAAAACUGCAUUAAACAAACCUAAAUUUUCAGCCCAAAGUACUAUGAUCAUGUCCUUUAAUCUUUCUUCCAAGGGAUUUCAAAUAAAUGGUUUGUGAUUACGGAAAUUGUAACCA